CCUACGGGUGGCAGCAGUGGGGAAUAUUGCUCAAUGGGGGAAACCCUGAAGCAGCAACGCCGCGUGGGGGAAGAAGGUUCUACGAUUGGUAACUCCUUUUUAUAGGGGAGAUAAUGACGGUAUGUGUGGAAGAAGCAACGGCUAACUCCGAUCCAGCAGCCGCAGUACUACGGAGGGUGCAAGCGUUACUCGGAAUCACUGGGCGUAAAGAGCGCGAAGGCGGGAUAUCAAGUCAGAUGUGAAAUCCUAUGGCUUAACCAUAGGACUGCAUUUGAAACUGUUAUUCUAGAGUAUGGGAGAGGUAGGUGGAAUUCUUGGUGUAGCGGUGAAAUGCGUAGAGAUCAAGAGGAAUACUCAUUGCGAAGGCGACCUGCUAGAACAUAACUGACGCUGAGGCGCGAAAGCGUGGGGAGCGAACAGGAUUAGAUACCCCAGUAGUC
rnacentral:rRNA from 1 species